CCUCGUGGUGGUUGUGAACCACCAUGUGG
rnacentral:misc_RNA from 1 species